CUUAAAGAUGCUUAUCAUCUGGAAAAACUAAUGACAAAAGGAAAUAACAUGUCAGGUAUUGGGUAUAGUUCUAAAUAUUAGAGUUAAGGCCCCAGGGGAAUCAAGCUGAAUAAACGCUCACACCACUAGCCUUUUCACCUGGUCAGUCAUGUUUCCUACAAUGGAUUAGAGGUUUUAUUUUUUAUUUAUUUGUUUAUUUAUUCAUGAGAGACACAGAGGGAGGCAGAGACAUAGAGGGAGAAGCAGGCUUCGUGCGGGGAACCUGAUGUGGGACUCCAUCCCAGGACCCCAGGAUCAUGCCCUGAGCCGAGGGGAGAUGCUCAACCACUGAGUCACCCAGGUGCCCCCAAUUAGAGGUUUUAAAAACUCAUCACCUAAGAGCAAGGCCUAAAUACCUUGUGGUUUGGAGUCAAGGUUUAGAAAACAAUGAAAGAUGAAAUGCUUGGAAAUGUGGUAAUUGUCUGGGAAAACCAGCCUGGCACUUAUUAUUCAGCAAAUGCACCCCACGAAGCCUCCUGCAGUUGCAUCCCAACUCCUACACCCACUCCUACACCCACACCCACACCCACACGUGAACACAUGAGUCCCAUUUUACACAAGUACUGCUUCGUUUGCAUCGUUUUGUAGUGUCCCCUUCUUAAAUAAAAAAAUUGAUAAUAAAAUGUGCCUAACUUUUAACUCAACACAGUCAGCCGCGACAUAACAGGGCCAAACCCUGACCAAAUGCAUGUGCUUCGUGCUCCACCUGGGGCCGCAAACCCAGGUUCUCUGGAUUGGAAGAAGAAACGCGCCUCAGAGCAGAAGCAGGUUGCAGCUGGUGGCCGUGCUGAUGACCCCAGUGCCUUCCCCCAGUCCAUCCAUGCAGGGAACGCCCGGAAGGGACACUGAGGCAAUCAGGGACCAGCCAGCCAGUCGAGAAGAGAAGUCACCUGCAAGUACCAGCAACUGCUGCUGGUAUGUCAGGGGGACAUGGGCACCCUGAAAAGCAGAGCGUGUACCAAGUCUUGAAUGAGGGAAGGAAAAUUGGUUCCUAAAGAAGAGCUCAAGGUCAGUAGGGGUGAAAUACUCUAUU
rnacentral:lncRNA from 1 species